AUGACAGUUCUCACUCACUGUCUCUGGUUACUGCUUCUCUGGGCUCAGAAAUCCAGUGGGCAGAUUGUUAUCACUCAGACACCUGCUUCUGUGACGGUGCUUCCAGGAGAAACGGUCACCAUUCAGUGCAAGGCAUCCAGCUCCAUUAGCAAUGAAAUGGACCUAUAUCGAUUCAGACCAGGAGAGGUUCCGAAGCUCCUCAUUUAUCAUGCCACCAACCGUUUCACUGGGGUCCCCGAUCGAUUCAGUGGUCGAUACAGCGGCACUGACUUCACAUUCACCAUUAGUGGGGUGCAGGCUGAUGAUGAAGGUGAAUAUUACUGUCAGCAGGACUAUACAACCCCGUUCACAGUGAUACAACUCAAUGCAAAAACCUCAUUAGUGCUGCAGCCUUCUUGGCAUGAAGCAGAAGGAAACAUCUGCAGUUGUUUCUAA